rnacentral:rRNA from 1 species
CAGGGAUUGCCUUAGUAACGGCGAGUGAAGCGGCAAUAGCUCAAAUUUGAAAUCUGGCGCUUGCGUCCGAGUUGUAAUUUGUAGAGGAUGAUUUUGGUUAGGUACCUUUCGAGUUCCUUGGAACAGGACGCCUUAGAGGGUGAGAGCCCCGUACGAUUGGAUGCCGAGCCUUUGUAAAUCUCCUUCGACGAGUCGAGUAGUUUGGGAAUGCUGCUCUAAAUGGGAGGUAAAUUUCUUCUAAAGCUAAAUACCGGCCAGAGACCGAUAGCGCACAAGUAGAGUGAUCGAAAGAUGAAAAGCACUUUGAAAAGAGGGUUAAAUAGCACGUGAAAUUGUUGAAAGGGAAGGAUUUAUGACCAGACUUUUUCUAGGAGAAUCAUCCGGUGUUCUCACCGGUGCACUUCUUCUAGUUUAGGCCAGCAUCGACUUUCGGCGGCGGAUAAAAGCUUCAGGAAUGUAGCUCCUCUCGGGGAGUGUUAUAGCCUGUUGUAUAAUACGCUGCUGGGGGUCGAGGUACGCGCUUCUGCAAGGAUGCUGGCGUAAUGGUUAUCAAUCACCCGUCUUGAAACACGGACCAAGGAGUCGAACAUUUAUGCGAGUGUUUGGGUGUUAAACCCUCACGCGUAAUGAAAGUGAACGGAGGUGAGAGCCCUUACGGGUGCAUCAUCGACCGAUCCUGAAGUUUUCGGAUGGAUUUGAGUAAGAGCAUAACUGUUCGGACCCGAAAGAUGGUGAACUAUGCGUGGAUAGGGUGAAGCCAGAGGAAACUCUGGUGGAGGCUCGCAGCGGUUCUGACGUGCAAAUCGAUCGUCAAAUCUGCGCAUGGGG